GUAGCUGGGACUUUGCCCAUCCUUUUCGUACCCUACACAUCUACUGUCAGGCUUAUACCCACGACAUAUAUAAUAUAAGUUUAGAAAAUUGUAGGGAUGUGUCUGGAUUUUUUGUUUUUCAUUUCAUGCUCUCGUGGAACGGUAAAGAACCGGUGAAGCCGGUUUGCAGGAUGGGUAUGAGUUGAAGAAGUUAUUCUUAUUAUACUUGCUAAAACAUCGUGGGAAUGAAGCUAAAGACAACUUUGUUGAUAUUGCAUGGACCACCCUAAAAUUGACAUGGAUGUGACCACUCCUUAGGCACCUAAUUCCAUGCUAAAUACAAUAUAUACCCUAAAGCUGGCAAAACAAGAGUUUCACGCGAGCCGGCAGGAUCAAAGCUGGCGAGCUUCCUACCGCCUCUGCACACACACCGUGCGCACGCAGAAUUCAGCCGACAAGUGGCAGGCAUGCAAGCGGUUAGGUAGAGUAUGUCGGCUACGUGGCGAACCACUGCCCCAGAAUCAAUUUUAUCUACACCCGUCCCUCUACAUGUCGCCAUCAGUAUUUACUCCAUGUAAUUACCAUUUUAGUCAUUAUGGUGACCCCUUGGUAUAUAAAAGAAGGCUCAUGUCAACAUUUAUGGA